GUUGUAUGGUUAAGUGACUAAGCGUACACGGUGGAUGCCUUGGCAGUCAGAGGCGAUGAAAGACGUAGUAACUUGCGAUAAGCCCAGAUUAGGUAGUAACAACCAUUUGAGUCUGGGAUUUCUGAAUGGGGAAACCCACGUGCAUAAGCACGUAUCCUUACCUGAAUACAUAGGGUAAGGAGGCGAACCGGGGGAACUGAAACAUCUAAGUACCCCGAGGAAAAGAAAUCAACCGAGAUUCCGAAAGUAGCGGCGAGCGAAAUUGGACUAGCCCUUAAGCUUUACACGCGUUAGACGAACGGUCUGGAAAGUCCGACGAUACAGGGUGAUAGUCCCGUAGUUGACGACGUGUGUUCAGUGAAAUCGAGUAGGGCGGGACACGUGAUAUCCUGUCUGAAUAUGGGGGGACCAUCCUCCAAGGCUAAAUACUACUGACUGACCGAUAGUGAACCAGUACCGUGAGGGAAAGGCGAAAAGAACCCCUGUGAGGGGAGUGAAAUAGAACCUGAAACCGUGUACGUACAAGCAGUAGGAGCAGGCUUUGUCCUGUGACUGCGUACCUUUUGUAUAAUGGGUCAGCGACUUAUAUUCAGUGGCAAGGUUAACCAUCUAGGGGAGCCGUAGGGAAACCGAGUCUUAACUGGGCGUUCAGUCUCUGGAUAUAGACCCGAAACCAGGUGAUCUAGCCAUGGGCAGGUUGAAGGUUGAGUAACAUCAACUGGAGGACCGAACCGACUAAUGUUGAAAAAUUAGCGGAUGACUUGUGGCUAGGGGUGAAAGGCCAAUCAAACCUGGAGAUAGCUGGUUCUCCCCGAAAGCUAUUUAGGUAGCGCCUCGGACGAAUACUACUGGGGGUAGAGCACUGUUAAGGCUAGGGGGUCAUCCCGACUUACCAACCCUUUGCAAACUCCGAAUACCAGUAAGUACUAUCCGGGAGACACACGGCGGGUGCUAACGUCCGUCGUGGAGAGGGAAACAACCCAGACCGCCAGCUAAGGUCCCAAAUUACUACUAAGUGGGAAACGAUGUGGGAAGGCUCAGACAGCCAGGAUGUUGGCUUAGAAGCAGCCAUCAUUUAAAGAAAGCGUAAUAGCUCACUGGUCGAGUCGGCCUGCGCGGAAGAUGUAACGGGGCUAAGUAGUAAACCGAAGCUGCGGCAAUGUGCUUUUGCACAUUGGGUAGGGGAGCGUUCUGUAAGCGGUUGAAGGUGUGUGGUAACGCAUGCUGGACGUAUCAGAAGUGCGAAUGCUGACAUGAGUAACGAUAAAGGGGGUGAAAAACCUCCUCGCCGGAAGACCAAGGGUUCCUGUCCAACGUUAAUCGGGGCAGGGUAAGUCGACCCCUAAGGCGAGGCCGAAAGGCGUAGUCGAUGGGAAACGGGUUAAUAUUCCCGUACUUCUUACAAUUGCGAUGGGGGGACGGAGAAGGCUAGGUGGGCCUGGCGACGGUUGUCCAGGUUCAAGUGCGUAGGCUUAAGAGUUAGGUAAAUCCGGCUCUUUUUAAGGCUGAGACACGACGUCGAGCACCUACGGGUGUGAAGUCAUUGAUGCCAUGCUUCCAGGAAAAGCCUCUAAGCUUCAGAUUGUAAGGAAUCGUACCCCAAACCGACACAGGUGGUCGGGUAGAGAAUACCAAGGCGCUUGAGAGAACUCGGGUGAAGGAACUAGGCAAAAUGGUACCGUAACUUCGGGAGAAGGUACGCUCUUGAUGGUGAAGUCCCUUGCGGAUGGAGCUGACGAGAGUCGCAGAUACCAGGUGGCUGCAACUGUUUAUUAAAAACACAGCACUGUGCAAAAUCGUAAGAUGACGUAUACGGUGUGACGCCUGCCCGGUGCCGGAAGGUUAAUUGAUGGGGUUAGACUUCGGUCGAAGCUCUUGAUCGAAGCCCCGGUAAACGGCGGCCGUAACUAUAACGGUCCUAAGGUAGCGAAAUUCCUUGUCGGGUAAGUUCCGACCUGCACGAAUGGCGUAAUGAUGGCCACGCUGUCUCCACCCGAGACUCAGUGAAAUUGAAAUCGCUGUGAAGAUGCAGUGUACCCGCGGCUAGACGGAAAGACCCCGUGAACCUUUACUACAGCUUGGCACUGAACAUUGACCCUACAUGUGUAGGAUAGGUGGGAGGCUUUGAAGCACGUACGCCAGUAUGUGUGGAGCCGUCCUUGAAAUACCACCCUUGUAGUGUUGAUGUUCUAACGU
rnacentral:rRNA from 1 species